rnacentral:rRNA from 1 species
UACGUGCGGGGCAAACGUUGUUCGGUGUCACUGGGCUUAAAGGGUGCGUAGGUGGUUGCGUAAGUCACGUGUGAAAUCCCCCGGCUUACCCGGGGAAUUGCGCGUUAUACUGCGUAACUUGAGGACUGUAGGGGAAUGGGGAACUCCAGGUGUAGCGGUGAAAUGCGCAGAUAUCGGGAGGAACACCAGUGGCGAAGGCGGCUUUCUGGUCUGCUCUUGACGCUGAGGCGCGAAAGCUAGGGUAGCAAACGGG